CGAACAGGGGUAAAUUAACCAACAACGACGUAGCACAUGCACCGAAGGCGAGGAAGAGGCGGGGGGUUAGGAGGAAGGGAGCGGCGCAGCGAAACACGCAGACGGAGGGGUGAGCCCUCCCCGUGAACAACAAAGGCGCUCUCCCCGCCGGAGGGGGAAGAGAGAAAGCGAGGGAAAUGGGGAGGAGACGAUGUCACACCCCCAUAAGAAGCUAGGCGCAGGCGAGCGUGGAUGCCCCGCGAAAGGAAUCACUCAUGCGGGUUUCAUUAUACCAAAUACCCUAACUCAGAAGAAUGUAAAGAUCCCUGUGCAGUGAAAGAAGGGCUGAAGAAGCAGCGCAGAGGAAGAACCAGGAGGAGAAUAUCAACAAUGUAAAGUCAGCAGACAAGAAAUAGGAUGGAAAAUAGUUUUUGCCCAGAAAAAGAAGAUAACUGGAAGUUUGGGAAUGGUCAUUAUAUUAGAAUAGAAGAGGUUCAAUCCAGAUUAGAGGAGGUCAGCCAGAUACUUGGAGAACAAAAAGAACAUGCUCUACACUUGAGCCGAAAGAAAGGGAAAAUUAAAGAGUGGAAAGAUGAAGGACACAAAAGAGCAUCUUUGUCUUAUGCAGUUUUAUCCUCAUUUUAAAAGAUGUCAAAUAUUUCGCAAUGGAAGAGAAGGCAGUGAGUUAAUUAUGAGUAAUCUAAAGCUAGAAAAGUGUGUGUGAGAGAGUAUCAACAAAAUAGGAUCUAGAAUUGCUGAAAAGUGGUAUAGAGGACAGUCAGUGUUAGUGGAAAGCUCUGAACAGUUGGUUAGUCUACCUACAGAAACCUUCAGAUGAAGAAGUGAAGAAAAUGAAUAGGGAAAUGAUAAAAAUGGAUAGUGUGAAGGUGAUAUAAACGUUAUUAUCAUUUGUAAAUGAGCAAGGCCAACAGAGAACAAGGAUGGUAAAGGGGGAAAACAAGAAAGUGUGUGGCAGAGAGAAACAUGAAUCUAAAUAUUGAACACCCCCUCCCUAUUAGAGCUGAUCAAUAUGUGUCAUAAUUCUCUAUACAGGCAUCAGCCUCCAUGAAGGAGAGGCUCUGUUAAAAUGUAGUAACUAAUAUAAACCAAGUGAAUAACCUGGAUUAAAUAGUCCACAGACACACAACUUGCCAGAUGUACUUAUUUUUAUUUAUUAUGUAACUUAAUGAACAAAUCAUAAAUUUUGCUACCACACAAUAA